AGAGAAGGAAAUUUGUUGCAAAUCCAAGAAACUCUUCAACCCAGCAAGAUGAAAGCCUUAUUGGGAUGGAUGUGCUUCUCUAUGCAUGGACUGGUCCUGAAACUCCUGUUGCUAAGGCAACAGUUCUCUCAGUCGAUCCAGACACAACUGUGGGUGGGGAGCCCCUUGGACCUGGUACUUAUGAGGUUAUUGUGAAUGUUGCCAUUAAAAGGGAUACUAUUCUGCCAUAUCAGUACGAGGACUUACUUUACAUUAGGGAUGCUGUCACAAGGUCCAUUGCAUGGCCAUCUAGCAAGAUGAAGCCCUACAAACCAGCUGUGUCUGGCUCAUCUCGCCACUGAGAUUUUUCAGUUCAAAAUCAGUUUCGAAGACAUCAACUGAAGAUGAUGUGUCCCCUCUAAAUAUGAAUUAUCAUGCUAAACAUUUCCCGCGAGCCACCAAGCCACCAAGUACCUGG